rnacentral:rRNA from 1 species
UGAGGAAUAUUGGUCAAUGGGCGAGAGCCUGAACCAGCCAAGUAGCGUGCAGGAUGACGGCCCUAUGGGUUGUAAACUGCUUUUAUGUGGGGAUAAAGUGCGUGACGUGUAAUGCAUUGCAGGUACCACAUGAAUAAGGACCGGCUAAUUCCGUGCCAGCAGCCGCGGUAAUACGGAAGGUCCGGGCGUUAUCCGGAUUUAUUGGGUUUAAAGGGAGCGUAGGCUGUCUAUUAAGCGUGUUGUGAAAUUUACCGGCUCAACCGGUGGCUUGCAGCGCGAACUGGUCGACUUGAGUAUGCAGGAAGUAGGCGGAAUUCAUGGUGUAGCGGUGAAAUGCUUAGAUAUCAUGACGAACUCCGAUUGCGCAGGCAGCUUACUGUAGCAUAACUGACGCUGAUGCUCGAAAGUGCGGGUAUCAAACAGG